UGCGUAGGGUGCGAGCGUUAAUCGGAAUUACUGGGCGUAAAGUGUGCGCAGGCGGCCGCGCAAGUCGAGUGUGAAAUCCCCGAGCUUAACUUGGGAAUUGCGCUCGAAACUACGUGGCUGGAGUGUGGCAGAGGAAGGUGGAAUUCCACGUGUAGCGGUGAAAUGCGUAGAGAUGUGGAGGAACACCGAUGGCGAAGGCAGCCUUCUGGGCCAACACUGACGCUCAUGCACGAAAGCGUGGGGAGCAAACAGG
rnacentral:rRNA from 1 species